rfam:Beta vulgaris subsp. vulgaris chromosome 5, whole genome shotgun sequence.
AGGCUAUGAUUAAUAAUUAUCCGCGCUUCUGAGAUUGCUCAAUGAAGUAAAGGAUAUUAAUGGUUGAAUUUCUUGAUAUGAGCUU